rnacentral:lncRNA from 1 species
GGAGUCUGCCCUCUCUUUCUUCUACUUUCAUUAUUUCCCUUAACUUGGCCUCUUAAAUUGCCUCUUAAAAUUACAGCUAGAUCCGCUUGCUGGCAAAAGAUUUUAAGAAUAACUGCGAGUCUGGUGGGAUACGUAUUUGCGAUCUUUUUGGAACCGUCAUCUGCGCCUGGUUUAGAAUUUGAAAAUCCUUCUGGAUGUUCUGGUUAUGUUGGGCCGGGCUUGUUCACCUGUGUAACGUCGGCGAGCCUGUAUGAACCAGCUAGCAAGCAUUAUUUUUUGGGACAU